AACGAACGCUGGCGGCGCGUUUUAAGCAUGCAAGUCGAACGGCAAGGUGGUAGCAAUACCACUCUAGAGUGGCGAACGGGUGAGUAAGACGUAGGUGAUCUACCCCUGGAUGGGGGAUAGUCCGUGGAAACACGGGGUAAUACCGCAUGAGGCCUUGUGGGUAAAGCCAUGAGGUGAAAGCUCCAAUUGGGGCGUCUGGGGAUGAGCCUGCGGCCCAUUAGGCAGUUGGCGGGGUAACGGCCCACCAAACCGACGAUGGGUAGCCGGCCUGAGAGGGUGUACGGCCACACUGGAACUGAGACACGGUCCAGACUCCUACGGGAGGCAGCAGCUAAGAAUCUUCCGCAAUGGGGGAAACCCUGACGGAGCGACGCCGCGUGGACGAUGAAGGCCGUAAGGUUGUAAAGUCCUUUUGCAGGAGAAGAAUAAGCUGGGGAGUGGAAAGCCCUGGUGAUGACGUUAUCCUGCGAAUAAGCCCCGGCCAAUUACGUGCCAGCAGCCGCGGUAAUACGUAUGGGGCGAGCGUUGUUCGGAGUUAUUGGGCGUAAAGGGCGUGUAGGCGGCACGCGGCGUCUGGUGUGAAAUCGCAGGGCUCAACCCUGCGGGUACACUGGAAACGGGCGUGCUUGAGUCCCGGGGGGGAAGCUGGAAUUCCUGGUGUAGGAGUGAAAUCUGUAGAGAUCAGGAAGAACACCGGUGGCGAAGGCGAGCUUCUAUUCGAGGACUGACGCUGAGGCGCGAAAGCGUGGGGAGCAAACAGGAUUAGAUACCCUGGUAGUCCACGCUGUAAACGAUGUGCACUAGGCGUGGGACACGUCGGUGUUC
rnacentral:rRNA from 1 species